GACAGAGGUGCCAAGCGUUAGGCGGAAUCACUGGGCUUAAAGCGUGUGUAGGCGGAUGCCUAAGUACCUUGUGAAAUCCCACGGCUCAACCGUGGAACUGCUGGGUAUACUGGGUGUCUUUGGGUCAGCUAGGGGUUGCCGGAACAAAUGGUGGAGCGGUGAAAUGCGCAGAUAUCGGGAGGAACACCGGUGGCGAAGGCGGUUCUCUGGGCCUUACCUGGACGCUGAGACGCGAAAGCGUGGGGAGCGAACCGG
rnacentral:rRNA from 1 species